rnacentral:lncRNA from 1 species
CCCAAGAUUGCAGAGAGAGAGACAGGCAAAUACAGAAAAUCACAGCUUCCUGGAGCAGAGACCGAGGAGCGGAAACCACCGCGAGAACCAGAACUGGGGCAGGAAAAGCUGAGCUGUAAUUGACAACUGCUGACGGCUCAGAGUGGACAAGUCUGAGAGGUGACAGUAUUAUGAAGGUUCUCUAGAGAAACAGAACCAACAGGAGAUACAUACAUAUAUUAUAAGGAAUUUGCUCUUACAGUUAUGGAGGCUGAGUCAUUCCAUGAUCUGCCACCCGUAAGCUGGAGACGCAUGAGAGCUGCUGGUGUAAUUCAGUCUGAGUCAAAGGCGGGAGAACCAACGGAGCUGAUGAUGUGGAUUACAAUCCAAGUCUGAAGACCUAAGAACCAGGAGCACCGAGAAGAUCAACACCCCAGCUGGAGCAACCAGGCAGGAAGAAUUCAAAUCGAAUUUCCCUUUCCUCCACCUUCUGCUGCAUUCAGGCCAUCAACAGACUGGAAGAUGGCCACCCACAUUGGGGAAGGCAAUAUACUUUGCUGAGCCCACCAAUUCAAAUGCUAAUCUCAUUCAGAAACACCCUUACAGACACACCCAGGUAUAAUGUUUAGUCUCGGUAACUCGUGGUCAGUCAGCUUUACACACAAACUUAACCAUCACAACUGCUGUGUACAUGGGAGGACAUUUGAAGUUUGUUCUCCACCCUCCCGGUGAUAGUGACAUUGCUCCCCAGAAGCAUAAAUGAUUCUGCCAUGACCAGUCUGGUGGUGUCUCUUACAGAUUACUGCAAGAAGUUCUUUGGGAUAUUGAUGUAAGAACAAAUCAUAUAACAACAUGGCAGAAAGGCACAAAGCAUACUCCCAGCAGUCAUAUGGAGGGAUCAGCAUUCCCAAAUCCUCUCCAACAUUUGACAUUAUCUAGCUUUGUGGUUUUUGCCAGUUAAGUAAGUAUAGGAUGAUAGCACUUUUGUUGUUUUAUUUUGCUUUUAUCUCAUAAUAAAUGGUUUUCAGUUUUAUUAAUGAGUUUGUAUAUUUUUGGAUUUAAGCUUCUGUAAAUUACUUGUUGAUAUCCUUUUCCCAAUUUUCUUCUAUUGUGCUAUUUUCCUCUUCUUGUUCAUUUGCAGAUCAUUUUAUAAGUGCUGCUUUAUACAUGUGUUAGCUAUUUAUCAAUUUUAGACAAUAAAAAUAUCAUUUAUUAUUGCAUCUCCAUUAUUGUAUAACAUUAUUGCACACAGUCAGUUAACUCAAAGGAGGAACAGUCAGUGAUAUUUUUGGCUGUUUUCCAUUUGCCAUAAACCGUAAUACAUAUUCAGUAUCUACACUUCCGUUCAUAAGUUGAGAUGAAUCAUUCUCUCACCCAGAUACAUAAAAUUGAGAAUUAUCUAACACAUUUAAAAAAUCUGUUUCUUCUUGGUUUUCAGAAAUAAUGAUCAAUUUAUCACAGAAAGUCUUAGAAAAUGACAUAAUAUUC